rnacentral:tRNA from 2 species
GUUCUAAUAGUUUAACCAAGAACAUACCGUUGAAGGUGGUAAAGUAAAAGUAUUUUUUAGGACG